rnacentral:lncRNA from 1 species
GUGAAGUUAUGUGGUAUAAUGAGUACAAACUUAUAAUUCAAGAUAUCCUUUUAAGUAUCCUUUUAUAUUUAAUUUAUUAUAAAUAUAUAUUGGUAUGUGGUUAUUAUAUUUUGUGCAGGAGUUUUUUUAUGAAUUAGAUAUGAAGCGGGUUGAAAGUUAUACACGCGGGUUUCACCCUUAAUCCGGAUUGGUUUGUGUAAUAUAUAAAUGAGAUGUUGAGAUAAACAUAAAAUAAACUCAGAUUUGUCUUCUUCUUUCUCUCAUCUUUAGGUCACAGUUCAUAGAGUUUUUUUGUAACAAAACUCGUUCAUUCACAGAGGGUUGUUAGAUUAGUUGAGUGAAUAUGUAGUGAGGUUUAUAUUGUAAGUUUCUUGAAAACCUUCUGGUUCUUAAUAAGAUAAGAGCUGUUGAUGUUGUAUAUGUUCUGUAUUUGAGUUUCUUUUGAUGGUAUCAGAGCCUGGUUCAGAGGUUUUGUAAUCUUUUGUGUCUAGUUUUUGGUUAGGGUUUCUCAACCAAAUUGAGUUAGGGUUACAAGUCGUGUUUUUGUAGAUCAGAUCUGAGUCCUUGAUCUUGUUAUCAAGGGUCGUUUUCUGGUGUUUGGUCUUUGUUUACCUGGAAUCGUUAUAGAUCUGAUAUCAGAUCUAUUAUUGAAACUUCAGUUUCUUUCUUCGAUCUGUGUGGAUCUUGAAGAUAUUGGUGUUCAUCACCUCGGUUGUCCUCUUGUCACAUCUUAAGAGUAAACGUUUGAGAUAGUAGUAAACGUUUAGGGUUAAUCCGUAUUAACCUUAACGGCCAACGCUAUCGCAGCGGUCAACGUUAAGAUUGUGCAAACAAGGUUCUAAAACCGAGUUGAUUCUGGCAUUUGAAUGCCCUGUCUCGAUUCUCAGCGGUGAGUCUGUUACAGAACUCAUCAGAACUACCUUGCUGUUUGCUGAGCGUUUUAUUUGUGGAUCACUGUAAGUCUCGCACGCUUCUUCGACUUUUGGGUAGUUCUUGAUAGAUCAGUUUUCAUCUGAUCGUUUGUUUUUCCUAUCACAUUUAUCUGUUCUUUGAUUAUUUGCUGUGGUUAUCAUGUCGGAUACACCUCCUGAAUCUUCUAGUAAGAAUGAUAUUGUUAAUUUUGAUGAUCCACUUUAUUUGCAUCCUUCAGAUCAUUCUGUGACAACUAUUAUAAGUUUCAAACUUCUUGGUACUGAGAAUUUUAGGGUCUGGAAAAGUUCUAUGGUAAGGGCUCUUAAAGCCAGAAAUAAACAGGGGUUUAUUGAAGGAACUGAACUAAAAGAUAGUAAAGAUUCUGUUAAAUCAUUGAAAUGGGACAGAGUUAAUGCUGUUGUAUGUUCUUGGAUUCUUAAUUCUCUUUCUGAGUCAAUUUACAUUGGACAUGCUUGUUCUGAAUAUGCUUUAGAUAUUUGGAAUGAGCUUUGUGAAACAUACUAUAAGGCUGAUGGGUCUGUGGUCUUUAACAAACUAGAUGGUCUAUGGAAAGAAUUUGAUGGGUUAACUAAGUGUCCUGACUGUACCUGUGAAGCUGCAACUCAUACUAAAAAUCAUUCGAAACUCAUGAAGCUUAUGCAGUUUCUCAGUGGUCUCGAUGACUCAUUUAACCAGGUUAAAAGUCAUAUUCUCUUAAUGGAGCCUCUACCUGAUGUUAAAACAGCUUUUUCUAUUGUGUCUAGAGAGGAGUCUAAUCAGAAACAUGGUAAUAUGUCUGUUUUGCCUAGUAAAAAUCAAAACACUUCUGCUUUUACUGGUAAAAUUGUUGAUAAUAAGAAGUUUAAGGGUAGAAACCAGAACUUAAUCUGCAAGAACUGUGGUAUUAAAGGACAUACAAUUGAAAAAUGUUAUAAGUUGAUUGGGUAUCCUAAGGAUUUUAAGCCAAGGUCUGAGUUUAAUAAGUCAUCAUCUUCCACUGUGUCUGGUACUGCUUCACAUGUUAGUGAAAGUACUAAUGUUUCUGAUAAAUCUGAUCAUUGGUUUUUAACAAAUGAUCAAUAUACAAAGUUAAUGUUACUUCUUCAAGAGAAAGAGUUGUCAAAGGGAGUCCCUGCUAAUGCUAAUAUGGCAGGUAUGACAUGUAAUAAUGUUCUGUUUAAUAAAAGAAAAUGGAUUGUUGAUUCAGGGGCAAGUCAACAUAUGACUGCAUCUGAAUCACAACUUUUUGAUGUAGUUGAUGUUUCUAAACUUAAUCUAAGAGUUGAUCAUCCAAAUGGGUCAACUGCUAAGAUUGAUAAGAUUGGAAAUAUUAGUCUUUCUGAUUCUAUUAUGUUGUCUGAUGUAUUUGUUAUUCCUGACUUUCAUGUCAAUCUUUUAUCUGUUCAUAAAAUUUGUAAGGAAAAUAAGUGUAAAGUUGUUUUUGAUGAAAAUAACUGUUUGAUUCAGGAUUCACUGUCAAUGAAGACUGUGAAGACUGGUAAAGAAUUUGGAGGUCUUUAUUAUUUGGAAAAUCAAAUGCUAGGUAGGUCAAAUUCAGUAAGUAAUAAUCAUAGAUGUUUUAUAUCAAAAUUAACAUGGCAUAACAGAAUGCGACAUCCAGCUGAUAAAGCUCUAAAUUUUUUAAAACCAAUUUUAAAUUUUGAUGACGGGUCAGUUAUGCCAUGUGAUGUUUGUCAUAAGGCUAAACAAACUAGAGAGCCUUUUCCUCUGAGUGAACAUAAGUCCUUGAGUUUAGGAGAGCUUAUUCACUUAGAUGUUUGGGGUCCAUAUAAAGUUGCUGCUAUUGGUGGUUUUAGAUUUUUUCUUACAAUUGUUGAUGAUUUUACUAGAGCUACAUGGGUUUAUUUGAUGAAAUCUAAAGAAGAAGUUUUUUGUUGCUUUCAUGAAUUUGUUAUGUUAUUGGGAAAUCAAUUUAAUGCUAAUCUAAAGAUUAUUAGAUCUGAUAAUGGAACAGAAUUUGUUAAUCAAAAAAUGGAAAAAUUUCUUGAAUCUAAGGGUAUAGUUCAUCAGACGUCUUGUAUACACACUCCGCAACAGAAUGGAGUGGUUGAGAGAAAGCAUAGACACUUAUUAAACGUUGCUAGAUCUUUGUUGUUUCAAGCUGGGUUGCCUAAAAAAUUCUGGGGUGAUUCUAUUUUGACAGCUGUGUUUUUAAUAAAUAGAACCCCAUCUUCAGUUUUAAGUGGAAAGACACCUUUUGAAUUAGUUUAUAAAUGUUUGCCUGUUUAUGAUAAAAUUCGUGUGUUUGGAUGUUUAGCUUUUGCUACUAAAUUAAACAUUACUGAUAAGUUUUCUGAACGAUCUCAGAAAUGUAUUUUGAUUGGUUAUUCUAAUGUUAAAAAAGGUUACAAACUGUUUAGUCUUGAUAAUGGUUCUUGUUUCUUUUCCAGGGAUGUGAAGUUUUAUGAGACUGUUUUUCCUUUUAAGUUGGGAUCUAAAUCAAAUGAUAUUUCUCAAUUUUGUGAGCCAACUUGUUUGAACUUUAAGGAUCUAUGGGAUCCAUUUUCCAAUGAUGAACUCUUAUUACCUAAAAAUUUUGAUGAUAAUCAAAAUAGUGAAAUUUCUAAUAGGCAGGAUGGUGAUACUGUUGAUAAUCAAUCUUUUGGUGCAACUGAUUUAGGUAUUGAUGGCAGAUCUGUUUUAGAUGCAACUAUAUCUCAUCAGGAAGGCACUUCUGAUUGUGAAACUUCUGGUUCGCAACCUGAAUCUGUUACUUUGAAUGUCAUUAAUGGUUCUGAGGAAAAUCUUAAUAACGAUAAUUCUAUGUUUGAUUCUCAGUUAAUAGGAGUUAGAAAAUCUACUCGUGAAUCUAGGUUUCCUCAAAAGUUUGAUGAUUUUAUUAUUGAAGGUAAGUAUAAAUAUGGAAUUGAGAGGUCAGUUAAUUAUUCUUUUCUUAGUCUUGAUAACAAAUGUUUUGCAACAAAUUUGAAUAAAUCAGUAGAGCCACAAUCUUAUUAUCAAGCUUCAUUAGAUCCUAAUUGGGUAAAUGCUAUGAAUGAAGAAAUUGAAGCUUUGUAUAGAAAUAAAACUUGGGAAAUUUGUGAUUUGCCUUCUGACAGAAAACCUAUUGGUUGUAAAUGGGUUUAUAAAAUAAAGUAUAAGGCUAAUGGUGAAAUAGAAAGGUUUAAGGCUAGACUUGUUGCUAAAGGUUAUAACCAAAGGGAAGGAAUUGAUUUUGAUGAAACAUUUUCACCAGUUGCAAAAAUGGUUUCGAUCAGGAUUGUUAUUUCUUUGGCAAUUAAUUUUAAUUGGAAUUUAUUUCAAUUAGAUAUAAAUAAUGCUUUUUUAUAUGGUGAAUUGGAUGAAGAUGUUUAUAUGACUUUGCCCCUUGGUUAUAAUAAUAAGAAUGGUAAUAAGGUUUGUAAGUUGCUAAAGUCUUUAUAUGGGCUGAAGCAAGCUCCCAGAAAAUGGAAUGAAAAGUUGUGUGGUUUUUUGCUUGAGUUUGGUUUUGUUCAAAGUAUGAAUGAUUUUUCACUGUUUGUUAAACAGAAUAAUGAUACUAUUGUCAUAUUACUUGUAUAUGUUGAUGAUAUAAUUCUGAGUGGUAAUUGUGAUAAAGAAAUUAAUAAGGUAAAAAGUUUUUUGAAGUCUAAGUUUUUAAUUAAAGAUUUAGGGAAGCUAAAGUUUUUCUUAGGAAUUGAAGUUAUAUAUAUUGAUAAAGGAGUAUGUUUGUGUCAAAGAAAAUAUUGUAUGGAGCUAUUGCAUGAAUUUGGUAUGUUGAGUUGUAAACCAGUUAAGACUCCUUUGGACUGUAAUGUUGUAAUUAAAGGAGAAGGUAUAGAUAGUAAUGAUGUACUUGUUCAAAAUGUUGUUCUUUAUCAAAAGUUAAUUGGAAAACUCAUUUAUUUGACUAUUACACGUCCAGAUAUUUCAUAUGCUGUACAAGUGUUGAGUCAGUUUAUGCAUUCUCCAAGAAAAUCUCAUUUUAACGUUGCUAUACGGUUACUUAGAUACUUAAAAUUAAAUCCUGGAAGAGGUUUUUAUGUUAAAAAGGGUAAUCUAAACUUAAAAAGUUUUGUUGAUGCUGAUUGGGCUAAGUGUUUGAUAUCUAGAAAGUCAAUUACAGGUUAUGUGGUAUUUCUUGGUAAUACAAUUGUAUCAUGGAAGAGUAAGAAACAAGAUACUGUUUCUAGAUCUUCCACUGAAUCAGAAUAUAGAGCACUUGGUGUAAUUUCAUGUGAAAUUAUGUGGAUCUUGAAAUUAUUAUUUGAUGUUGGAUUGAAAGGUUUGACUCCUGUUUCUAUAUUCUGUGAUAAUGAGUCAGCUAUAAAGCUUGUUCAUAAUCCAGUGUUUCAUGAAAAAACGAAACAUUUUGAUGUGGACACUCAUUUUAUAAGGGACAGGGUUUCUAAAGGUAUUGUUGAAGUUCACAAAGUGAGCUCAGAUUUCAAUCUAGCAGAUAUUUUUACUAAACCACUGGGAGUUGUUCAACAUGAAUGGAUUUGUAAAAAUCUUGGUAUGGUUGAUCCGUUUCAGAAUAAGUGUUGAAGUUAGUUUUUGAAUUAUAAGUUUGCGGAGGGGUGUGAAGUUAUGUGGUAUAAUGAGUACAAACUUAUAAUUCAAGAUAUCCUUUUAAGUAUCCUUUUAUAUUUAAUUUAUUAUAAAUAUAUAUUGGUAUGUGGUUAUUAUAUUUUGUGCAGGAGUUUUUUUAUGAAUUAGAUAUGAAGCGGGUUGAAAGUUAUACACGCGGGUUUCACCCUUAAUCCGGAUUGGUUUGUGUAAUAUAUAAAUGAGAUGUUGAGAUAAACAUAAAAUAAACUCAGAUUUGUCUUCUUCUUUCUCUCAUCUUUAGGUCACAGUUCAUAGAGUUUUUUUGUAACAAAACUCGUUCAUUCACAGAGGGUUGUUAGAUUAGUUGAGUGAAUAUGUAGUGAGGUUUAUAUUGUAAGUUUCUUGAAAACCUUCUGGUUCUUAAUAAGAUAAGAGCUGUUGAUGUUGUAUAUGUUCUGUAUUUGAGUUUCUUUUGAGGUCACCGUUGGCUUAUGGC